GAACGCUGGCGGCAUGCCUGCCACAUGCAAGUCGAACGAGACCUUCGGGUCUAGUGGCGCACGGGUGCGUAACGCGUGGGAACCUGCCCUUAGGUUCGGAAUAACUCCCCGAAAGGGGUGCUAAUACCGGAUAAUGUCUUCGGACCAAAGAUUUAUCGCCUUUGGAUGGGCCCGCGUUGGAUUAGCUAGUUGGUAGGGUAAAAGCCUACCAAGGCGACGAUCCAUAGCUGGUCUGAGAGGAUGAUCAGCCACACUGGGACUGAGACACGGCCCAGACUCCUACGGGAGGCAGCAGUGGGGAAUAUUGGACAAUGGGCGAAAGCCUGAUCCAGCAAUGCCGCGUGAGUGAUGAAGGCCUUAGGGUUGUAAAGCUCUUUUACCCGGGAUGAUAAUGACAGUACCGGGAGAAUAAGCGCCGGCUAACUCCGUG
rnacentral:rRNA from 1 species